rnacentral:rRNA from 1 species
GGUGGGGAUGCGUCUGAUUAGCUUGUUGGCGGGUAACGGCCCACCAAGGCGACGAUCAGUAGGGGUUCUGAGAGGAAGGUCCCCCACAUUGGAACUGAGACACGGUCCAAACUCCUACGGGAGGCAGCAGUGAGGAAUAUUGGUCAAUGGGCGAGAGCCUGAACCAGCCAAGUAGCGUGCAGGAUGACGGCCCUAUGGGUUGUAAACUGCUUUUACGCGGGGAUAAAGUGCGUGACGUGUCUCGCAUUGCAGGUACCGCGUGAAUAAGGACCGGGCUAAUUCCGUGCCAGCAGCCGCGGUAAAU